GCCCUAAACGAGCAUAUUUGGUGUGGGCAGUUCAUCUGUCCGUGCCGGAGCUAACGCGUUAAAUAUGCCGCCUGGGGAGUACAGUCGCAAGGCUGAGACUCAAAGGAAUUGACGGGGGCCCGCACAAGCGGUGGAGCAUGUGGUUCAAUUCGACGCAACGCGAAGAACCUUACCUGGGCUCGAACGGCUGGUCAACGGCGUUGGAAACAGCGCUACCCCGCAAGGGGGUCCAGUCGAGGUGCUGCAUGGCUGUCGUCAGCUCGUGUCGUGAGAUGUUGGGUUAAGUCCCGCAACGAGCGCAACCCUUGUCCUGUGUUGCCAUCAUUCAGUUGGGAACUCGCAGGAGACCGCCAGCGAUAAGUUGGAGGAAGGUGGGGAUGACGUCAAGUCCUCAUGGCCUUUAUGUCCAGGGCUACACACGUGCUACAAUGGCCGGUACAAUACGUCCCUAACCCGCGAGGGGGAGGCAAUCGCUAAAAACCGGUCUCAGUUCGGAUUGCAGGCUGCAACUCGCCUGCAUGAAGCUGGAAUCGCUAGUAAUGGCAGAUCAGCACGCUGCCGUGAAUACUUCCCGGGCCUUGUACACACCGCCCGUCACAUCACGAAAGUGGAUUGUACUAGAAUCUGCAGCUGACCCGCAAGGGAAGCAGCGGCCCAAGGUAUGAUCCAUGAUUGGGGU
rnacentral:rRNA from 1 species